AUGGAGAAGUCCCCAGCCACAGCAGGAUACCAUCAUGCACCACUUUUCCAAGAGCCACUUGGUAUUCUCAUCCUUUUCAUCCUCACCUGGUGCAUCUCGAAGCUUCAAAGUCUCCUUCCCACUUCUUGUUGCCAAUCCUGCACUUGUACUGUCUCCCCGACAACCUCGACGCCGGUCCUCGCCGAGACGAAGAUAUCGAAGGCACCAAAUAAGAGUGAAUAUGAUGAGAUGAAUGCGACGCAGUCAGAUGCCGAGGUAGCCAUGAGAAAGAUGGGACUUGAUUUUGAUCAAGAGAAAAGCUGCGAAUAUAUUUCUACGCUUUUCGAUGAAGACGAGCCAAGCUUCAAGGAAGUGAAAAUGGCAUUCUUGGUUUUUGAUGAGAACAAUGAUGGGUACAUCGAUGCAUUGGAUUUGCGACGAGUCCUCCACAACUUAGGGUUAGGCGACCGGGUAGGGGUCAAUGAGUCUGAGCAGAUGAUUGCUAGAUAUGACAUGAACAAUAACAAGAGGUUAGAUUUGAUGGAGUUCACUAAGGUUUUGGAGGACAGCUUUUGCUAG
rnacentral:rRNA from 1 species